rnacentral:lncRNA from 1 species
UAUUCUUGAAGCGUAACUCAGGGGCCCAGAGAAAGUUGAAACAAUUAAGACUAACAUCACAUCUUUGAUAAAGCUGGUGUCUAAUGGAAGCAUUGCAACUGGUUCUGCUGCUUUGAACAAAUCUUCUGGUAGAGCAGAAAUAAUAAUACUUUCAAAAGAUGAAAGUCAUAUACAGUUAAACAAUAACUCUGCAAUGAUGGGUUCAGUUAAGAAGAAGAUGAGAUGUGAUUGCCUCCAAAAUCAGUAGCCCGCAUAUAAAAUGAAUAAACCAGUUAUUAGUUUCGCCACCCCGUCGUUCUUCACGUGCAAUGGUAUAAACCUAUUGCUAGAUGUCAAAACUUUUGCAUUCUUUUGCUUCUUUUAUUAGAGAUUACGUGAAUAUUUGCCUUGUUUGCUUGGUUUUUUAGAGAGGCCACGAUGGUCUUCGGAUGCGCGAUCAGGGAAAUAGUAGCUGCAAAAAUUACAGAUUGAGAAUGCUCGUACUGCAAUAUGCUGAGAGCUUACAUGCUCCUCUCUUUAGGGAAUGUUCCUGGUUUAGAAGGUAAGCCUAGUCUUCUAAUUGAUUUAAGGAUAUAUAAUUCACUGAGGCAAUAUUCAUUCUUCCACUGUGAGUAUCUGAAGAAGAGUCAGUUUCUGCUAUUGCUUACUUUUUUUUCAUGUAUUAUGUAAACAUUGGUGAAGCGAAGCCAUUUGAGAACAUGAAAAAGACGCGUCAAUUUUCUGCCUGACUCGGCAAUCACCAUAUAAGCUCAAAUUCUGCUAGUUUUUUCUUUGUUGCUUGGUGAGAGCGGAAUAUGUUAGUACACAUGCCACAAAAAACUGGGACACUGGCUGAUGCAGCGGAUACGAAUAAGGAACCAAUAACCAAACCCUAGCCGCUGAUUUCGAAGAAUGCCGUUUUGGAUUUCUUCCCUAAAUAUGUUGAUUCAAGUGAAUACCAGGAAAAGAGACAUCAAGCGUUCGUUGAUUCACAAGAAUACCGAACGAUUGGGAUAAACGGCACAAACUUGCGCAUAAACUAUAUUAAUCUAUCUAAAAACUACUGAAAACGUCACAAACAAUAGUAUAAAUAUGUUGCACGAAAUCCUAGGGCCCGGGAUAAACCGGGUUAAAAGAAAAACUUACGAAAACCCUAAAAAAAACAGGCCCAAAACACUAAAACGGCCCGAAAGUCAUACUUUUAGAAGCGUUUUUUCGCGGUUUUUUCAGGGCCUUCGUCUCAUCGCUAGCUUUUCGAUUUUCCGACGAGAAAACCAUAUCAAUAGGAUCAAAAGUUCCUGAUUAAAGUUUACAGGCCACAAGCGAUCAUACGACCCCCGGGUCUCCAAGUAGUCUGCUACUAUGCUAAAUGCUAGCUAUCCGCAUCACUGGCCAUUUAUGGGUCUAAAGUUUUAACUACUUGCUAUAUUUAUUAUUUUAUGUGCUAACAAGACGCUAUUCAAGUACUCUUCGUGUGAAACCACACCUAUUUGACUCCAUUUCCUAGGGACCUUGUUUUCUCCCUCCCGCUUUUUUUAUUCAAUUAGGUUACAUAACUGUGAUAAAGUCAUUGAUGAUGAGCCCUCCAGUGAGUUAUUGAUGUGUAAUCUCAUAUGAAAUUCUGUAUUCAUGGUCCCACACCCACAUUGUAGUACUAGUUCCAUAUCAGACCUGUUAUCUAGUCACAAACCUUUUAGAUCCAUGGAUUUGGGAUGUCAAUAAGUAUAAAAUCUUCCCUCUUGUACAUAACCUUUGGGGCCAGGUAUUUGAGGCGUGAAAGAGUCAUAAACUUGCUGAUAUGUUUGCCAUGAGAAUGAAACACAUUUCCACUGUAGGGUUUCAAACAUUCUGGUGGCAGUAAAAUUUCAGAAAUAGCAUCCCUUCACUCAAUUUGGAUAAAUAAUUCAAUUUCAGGGUUUCCCUAAAUUUCCCUUAUCAAUUCUAAUUCGAAAAUUUUGUUUUUCUUUUAACUUUUAACUCUUUUACAAUAUUUCAUUACGUUUUACUCAAUUUUUGACAUCACGACUGAACUUUUUGGGCAAUUUAAUAAAAAAUAAUAAAGAAGAACGAUUUGAGGCAUUUUAAUCUUUAAAAAAUUUCUCUAUUUUUACAGCAUUCCUAAUUUUCUGUCAAAUUCCUAACGCACUACAAUUUGGAACCGAAUAGGUCUGGUUUUUAACUAAUUCUUGGCAUAAAUUUGGGAAAUAUAAAAAACUGGUGCGGUGGUGGACUGUUCUGGCCAAUGGUUCACAUUGCAUAUCGUGUCAUAGCAUGGUUGGGUGGUAAUUGUUAUUUUGGUACUCAUGUCAUUAAGUGGAAAACGUUAAUUGGUCAUCUAGCUGCUGUUGCCUGCCUCAACCCUAGAGUCCUCUAUUUGCUGAUGUUACUUUGUUUUCUUAAUUUUUUUGACGUGUGCCUGAACUAACUGCGAUAGCAGGCUAUGAACUCAAUGGAACCACCCUCAAAACGUUUAUGUCUACAGGAUUGGGAGAAAAGCCAUUUUCAUCACCAAUAUCAAGGG